rnacentral:tRNA from 1 species
GAAGUAGCCAAGUGGUAAGGCAACGGACUUUGACUCCGUCAUUCGUGGGUUCGAACCCCGCCUUC